rnacentral:rRNA from 1 species
UACGGGGGGGGCAAGCGUUGUUCGGAAUUACUGGGCGUAAAGGGCUCGUAGGCGGCCAACUAAGUCGGAUGUGAAAUCCCCAGGCUUAACCUGGGAACUGCAUCCGAUACUGGAUGGCUUGAAUCCGGGAGAGGGAUGCAGAAUUCCAGGUGUAGCGGUGAAAUGCGUAGAUAUCUGGAGGAACACCGGUGGCGAAGGCGACAUCCUGGACCGGUAUUGACGCUGAGGCGCGAAAGCCAGGGGAGCAAACGGG